AACGAACGCUGGCGGCAUGCCUAACACAUGCAAGUCGAACGAGACCUUCGGGUCUAGUGGCGCACGGGUGCGUAACGCGUGGGAAUCUGCCCUUGGGUUCGGAAUAACAGUUAGAAAUGACUGCUAAUACCGGAUAAUGUCUUCGGACCAAAGAUUUAUCGCCCAGGGAUGAGCCCGCGUAGGAUUAGCUAGUUGGUGAGGUAAAGGCUCACCAAGGCGACGAUCAGUAGCUGGUUUGAGAGAACGACCAGCCACACUGGAGCUGAGACACGGUCCAGACUCCUACGGGAGGCAGCAGUGGGGAAUUUUGGACAAUGGGCGCAAGCCUGAUCCAGCAAUGCCGCGUGAGUGAAGAAGGCCUCGGUUGUAAGCUCUUUCUAGACGGAAAGAAAACGA
rnacentral:rRNA from 1 species